UGCCAGCAGCCGCGGUAACACGUACUGUGCGAGCGUUAAUCGGAAUCACUGGGCUUAAAGGGUGCGUAGGCGGUCUCGUAGGUCAGGUGUGAAAUCCCACGGCUCAACCGUGGAACUGCGCUUGAAACCACAAGACUUGAGUGAGAUAGAGGUAAGCGGAACUGAUGGUGGAGCGGUGAAAUGCGUUGAUAUCAUCAGGAACACCGGUGGCGAAAGCGGCUUACUGGGUCUCUACUGACGCUGAGGCACGAAAGCUAGGGGAGCGAACGGGAUUAGAUA
rnacentral:rRNA from 1 species